UUUUUAUGUGGACCUCUGUCCUUGUGCCUCUGGUGCUUGGAUAGAACCACAUAAGCAGGUGAAACUUCUUAGAGGAACUGGCGCUCAAAAAGGCGCACGAGAAAGAGCAAUAACAGGUCUGUGAUGCCCUAAGAUGUCCGGGGCCGCACGCGUGCUACAAUGACGAUGCUACUGAGCAUGAUUAACUUGUCCGAAAGGAUCGGUGAAACUGUUCAAUCAUCGUCGUGACUGGGAUUGGGGUUUGCAAUUGUCCCCCAUGAACCAGGAAUUCCUAGUAAGCACAAGUCAUAAGCUUGUGCUGAUUACGUCCCUGCCCUUUGUACACACCGCCCGUCGCUACUACCGAUUGAAUGGUUUAGCAAGGACACUGGAUCGAGCCUUUGCGGUUUCGGCUGCUUGGGUUUGAGAAGAUGUCCGAACUUGAUCAUUUAGAGGAAGUAAAAGUCGUAACAAGGUUUCCGUAGGUGAACCUGCGGAAGGAUCAUUAUCAAGUUUCCAAUACAACAUGCCGACUAUGCUUGCAUGUGGCAUUAUGCUGGACUGUAUCUGAUUUACGGAUCGUCGCAGUGUGCCAUGUGUUUGAUGUUAGCGGUUUGUGAAUGAGAUCCAUGCCCGGGGAUUAUGCCCCACUGCAUGGAUCGCCUGUGAUACAGAAAUGUGCCUGAUGGGCCGGCUUGUAACACUCUUAUGAGCCGUGUCCCGUCUUCCACAUCAGCCGACUCUGAAUGGAGCGGCCAAGUAGUUGCGCGCAGGUGGUAACGUUCUGCGCGUACACUCUUGGUUGCACUCACUCUUUCAUGCAUUCAUUCAUUCAGAGACCCGGUGCGUUGCAAACAUUCUCCCUUCGGGUGAGUCCUCUCUGUGUACCUUCCAAAUAUUUUAAACAACCUAGCUAUGAGUGUGCGAUGCUAAGUUGGUGCGCAAGCACUGACUGGGCGUUGUGCGCUCUGGCUCGAUGCGAGUUGCCCCCGGGUGACGAGCGUCAACUAUAUACAACUG
rnacentral:rRNA from 1 species